rnacentral:tRNA from 1 species
GCCCCCAUAGUAUAAUUAAUUACCC